UACGAAGGGGACUAGCGUUGUUCGGAAUCACUGGGCGUAAAGCGCACGUAGGCGGAUGUGUCAGUCAGGGGUGAAAUCCCGGGGCUCAACCUCGGAACUGCCUUUGAUACAGCACGUCUCGAGUCCGGAAGAGGUGGGUGGAAUUCCUAGUGUAGAGGUGAAAUUCGUAGAUAUUAGGAAGAACACCGGUGGCGAAGGCGGCCCACUGGUCCGGUACUGACGCUGAGGUGCGAAAGCGUGGGGAGGCAAACAG
rnacentral:rRNA from 1 species